CUGGGCGUAAAGGGCGCGCAGGCGGUAAAUUAAGUCAGGUGUGAAAGUUCGGGGCUCAACCCCGUGAUUGCACCUGAUACUGAUAAACUAGAGUGUUGGAGAGGUAAGUGGAAUUCCUAGUGUAGCGGUGGAAUGCGUAGAUAUUAGGAGGAACACCAGUGGCGAAGGCGACUUACUGGCCAAUAACUGACGCUGAGGCGCGAAAGCGUGGGGAGCAAACAGGAUUAGAUACCCUGGUAGUCCACGCCGUAAACGAUGAGUACUAGGUGUUGGUUGUUUCGAAACAAUCGGUGCCGCAGUAAACACAAUAAGUACUCCGCCUGGGGAGUACGGUCGCAAGACUGAAACUCAAAGGAAUUGACGGGGGCCCGCACAAGCGGUGGAGCAUGUGGUUUAAUUCGACGCAACGCGAAGAACCUUACCAAGACUUGACAUCC
rnacentral:rRNA from 1 species